GGUUGGUAUUCGAUUUCAGCUGGCUACAUGUAACCACACGAGUUAGCAGGUAUAUUUUAUCCGGGAAGGAAGACGAGAGUCGAAGAUACUUUACAGAGAAUUCCAACGUUGCUUCCAAAGUGGUUUUUGCUGCCUUUUCGCUGGACACAGUCAAUGGCUUUUCAACUUCAGAAACUACUGCAAGUUCUGGGGUAGUGGUAACGGAUGACUGCUCUGCUGGAGUAUCAGGUGCUGGAAUAGUGUCAGGCAAAGUUUGUGGAUUUAACACUUGGUUUUCAAGAGCAGGCCAUAGGUUUUCAAUCCAAGGAUCAACCACAAUCUCCAACCCAACUGCAUCAUCUGCCCAUCCAGACUUGUAAAACUGUUUUGCUCCAAGUUUUCGAAGUUGUUUCUCAACACUCUUGGGAUAGCCCAAAAAUGUUGUGUAGUUUGUAUCACCCAAACCAAGCAGAGCGUAUUCCAAAUGACACAAGUAAUCAUUGCCCAAGUUCUUUGAUCUAAUCUUCCUCCAAAAAAUGCCUGCAUUUUCAGGAGGAUCUCCAUCGCCAGUCCUUUAAAAAAAUUUUAAUUUGUGUUGCACUUUGCUGACAUGCACCAAAAUAGUGACAAAAAACUUACGAAGAUGUAAUGAUGAUGAGAAAUCUAUAUUCUUUCCAGGGCAUCUGAAAUAGUAAGUAAUAAGCAAAUACAAUUUUGCAACAAAACAUGUAAACAGUCUGAUAAUAAAACCUUUUCAACUGACUCGUCCAUGGACAUCAUUUCGACGUCGUAAUUGAACGAUUCAGCUUUUGUUUUAAUGUCCUCGGCAAUCGACUUUGAUUGUCCAGUUUGAGAACCAUAGAUUAAAAACAAAUUACAACGUUCAGGAGCCAUUUCCACUCUUUUUAAAAUUAUGUAACUGAUCAACACGACAACUGACACGUGGAAACAACAGGAUUUUCGUCUGCUUAUGUUUUCUAAGUCGUCUUGGUGUGGGAACCAGCUGGAACCAGAGAUAGUGAUAGGAAAUCAAACCUGACUCUUUCCAUGUGAUUUCGAAAAAAUAAAUCGGGAAAAAGACUUGUUUUAGUGGUGCUUGCCCCCAUAAGAAGCAUUUAAAAAGAGACAUCGAAAUCAGUGCAGGACCAUGGAAAACCAGUGACGGCCUGGCCGUCACUGGGUCUUAAUUCGGCAAUUUUUGGCUGCAGGCGUAUUACACAUCAAUACCAUCAAUAACGUAUGAAUGCCAGAUCCGCCUGUAAAAGCUUUCGCAUAAACUUCGACACAACGGCACGAAGUCUGAACCCCUUCUGAAGAAACGUGUGGAACGUUGAAAAGAGAGAACAAUUUUUCCCACUGCUUGGUCCAAAAAUGAUUCACCAUCCCUUCAAGAUCGGUUCUUUAUAUUCACAUAGAUGCACGUGAAUAGAUUUUAAAGUAGAUAAGUCACGAAGGACCACAUUGGAAGAAUGUAUAAUUUACAGAACAUCUACUUUGCCGGCUUAAACGAAAUUGUAAAAGCCACGCGAUCUUUCCUUUACGGGAUUCUUCGGCCAUAAGCAUGAGGCCACCACGGGACGCCACAUUAAUGAUAUUUGUCGCCUAAUUUACAAGAAACUCUAAUGUUUGGUUCUUACAGAUGCUGUCUCACAAAAAGGAGGCAAAGAAAUUCAGUUAAAGGAAAACUCUCGCUGGACGUCAAGUUUCUGGAAAAACGAUCAUGAAUUCAAAAGAAGAAUUGCAAUGAAAUUGGAAUUUCUUUUUAAUACCACUAUAGACAUGGGCAUUCUUGGAGCGACCUUUGGAUCACUAUGACGAUUUCACAAGUCCUUUGGCGAGCAUUUUGCGAAAUCGUACGGCACUUUAGCUGACCUGCGAACAUUUCCAUGUCUGGAUAUUCCGGACAGGUCUGACGGAUUUACGACGUUGUGUCGACUUGAAGCAAAGAUAUUAUUCAUUCCGAUUGAUAGUUUUUGGAUCAUCGGGUAGAAUGUCAUAUCUACCUGCCUUUGGCAAAGUCGCCGUUGCCGCUAUUAUGGCAAGUUUUCAAGGAUUUUGAACGGAAUCGCCCGAUAAAUCUUUAAGACACCGAUGUGCGUGAUAAUGGACAGUUUGUUGGGUCUUCUAGUCUGUGGUAGAAAUCGUUUUUUUGUUUUAAAAUAUCACCUUUUGUUUAAAAAUUUUAUAUCCAACCAAACCAAUAUAAAGCACCAAUUGAAUAGUGUUCUUUUUCGAUCCCCAUCAAAGGCAGCAUGGGUUGUUGAAUGGGGGUCGAUGGUUGAGCGAGAACAAGUGGAUACUGUGGCACUUUGAUGGAAAGGAUACCAGCAUAUUUUUUGUAUUGACGAUUCGCAGUUGAUCAAAGCCUCUUGUGUCCGAACCAAUGUUAGGUAAACGUCACUGUACUGCUCAUCCUGAUCUGUUUUUAUGACGUUGUUUGCCUUACCAAGCACUAUCACUAUAAUAAAUUUGAAUGAAUCUUGUUGUGUUAGAAUAAAGUAAGAUUACCCAAAAUUAAAAUAAACAUGUUUCAUUGGA